GUGAGGAAUAUUGGUCAAUGGGCGCAAGCCUGAACCAGCCAUCCCGCGUGCAGGAAGACGGCCCUAUGGGUUGUAAACUGCUUUUCCAGGGAGAGAAACUUACGUACGCGUUACGUAACUGACGGUACCCUGGGAAUAAGCAUCGGCUAACUCCGUGCCAGCAGCCGCGGUAAUACGGAGGAUGCAAGCGUUAUCCGGAUUCAUUGGGUUUAAAGGGUGCGUAGGCGGACUAUUAAGUCAGUGGUGAAAUCCUGCAGCUCAACUGUAGAACUGCCGUUGAUACUGAUAGUCUUGAGUUUGGUUAAGGUAGGCGGAAUGUGUAAUGUAGCGGUGAAAUGCUUAGAUAUUACACAGAACACCGAUUGCGUAGGCAGCUUACUGAGCCGACACUGACGCUGAGGCACGAAAGCGUGGGGAUCGAACAGGAUUAGAAACCCUAGUAGUCC
rnacentral:rRNA from 1 species